rnacentral:lncRNA from 10 species
GCCUUUCCGCACAGAGCUCUUCCUUCAGACACUGGAGUUUUUUAAUCUAGCAGUUCUAUUUACUGAUUUUACAACCUACGUACUUAACCACUGUGGCCCUCCUCCUCACUGAUGCUCAGACAGAUUCCUGCAAUGAGGAACCGCCUUCAUCCCACCUUUGUCUCAUACCCUCCCCAACCUACUCACUAUGAGAAGUGUACUUGUAGGAAACGACUUGUCAUUUACCGCACUUUGGAUAAGAUGCUAGCACGAUGUCAUCAUGUCUGGCUUCGAAGGUGUCCAGCGCUUGGAAAGUUUCUGAGGUGCACAUGGUGAUGGGAUCGCAAGUUCUUGUCCUGCAUUCAAGAAGAAUGAGGUUAUGCUGAAAACCAAAGAGUGAGAAGGGCAGAGAAGAGUUUUAUUGAACAAUGGAACAGCUAUCAGCAGAGAUGGGAAUCAAACAGCGUGGUCUGCCACCCUAAGGCAGGUAGCCCCCUUAGCCUGAAGGUGGGUACGAAAAAAACUGUAAUACUGUAUCCCCCACCCUUCACUGGUGUAGGGCAGCCGCCCCACAUGAGGGAAGGAGUGACAGGGCCAGGCCAGCCCAGGAGCAGCAGCAGGGAGUGGAGCAAUGGGACUAAAAGAGCUGUUAGCAUGCUAUAACACCCGCUCUGGGGAUUGGGGUUGCUGGCAUCCCUGUUUGGGUGUCACCAUGUUCCCCUCAUGCAGACACCAUUGCCCAAGGUGGAAGCAGGUCGUGGCAUGGCCGGCCCAGCAGCGGGCUGAGUGUGGAUCC